rnacentral:rRNA from 1 species
UACGUAGGGGGCAAGCGUUGUCCGGAUUUAUUGGGCGUAAAGCGCUCGCAGGCGGUCCGAUGCGUCGUGCGUGAAAGACCCCGGCUCAACUGGGGGAGGUCGUGCGAUACGGUCGGACUCGAGGCCAGUAGGGGGAUGCGGAAUUCCGGGUGUAGUGGUGGAAUGCGUAGAGAUCCGGAGGAACACCAGCGGCGAAGGCGGCAUCCUGGACCAACACUGACGCUGAGGAGCGAAAGCCAGGGGAGCAAACGGG